rnacentral:rRNA from 1 species
CCUACGGGUGGCAGCAGUGAGGAAUAUUGGUCAAUGGGCGCGAGUCUGAACCAGCCAAGUAGCGUGCAGGAUGACGGCCCUACGGGUUGUAAACUUCUUUUAUAAAGGAAUAAAGUUAGGCACGUGUGCCUUUUUGUAUGUACUUUAUGAAUAAGGAUCGGCUAACUCCGUGCCAGCAGCCGCGGUAAUACGGAGGAUCCGAGCGUUAUCCGGAUUUAUUGGGUUUAAAGGGUGCGUAGACGGGUUGUUAAGUCAGUGGUGAAAGGUCCGGGCUUAACCGGGGAACUGCAUUUGAUACUGGUAGCCUAGAGUGCAGGUGAGGUAGGCGGAAUUCGUGGUGUAGCGGUGAAAUGCUUAGAGAUCACGCAGAACACCGAUUGCGAAGGCAGCUUACCAAACUACCACUGACGUUGAUGCACGAAAGUGUGGGUAUCAAACAGGAUUAGAUACCCGUGUAGUC